rnacentral:rRNA from 1 species
AAUACGUAGGGUGCAGGCGUUAAUCGGAAUUACUGGGCGUAAAGCGUGCGUAGGCGGUUUGUUAAGACAGGUGUGAAAUCCCCGGGCUUAACCUGGGAACUGCGCUUGUAACUGGCAGACUGGAGUGUGGCAGAGGGGGGUGGAAUUCCACGUGUAGCAGUGAAAUGCGUAGAUAUGUGGAGGAACACCGAUGGCGGAGGCAGCCCCCUGGGCUAACACUGACGCUGAUGCACGAAAGCGUGGGGAGCAAACAG